rnacentral:rRNA from 1 species
UACAGAGGUCUCGAGCGUUAGGCGGAAUCACUGGGCUUAAAGCGUGUGUAGGCGGGUCGUUAAGUACCUUGUGAAAUCCCAUGGCUCAACCAUGGAACUGCUUGGUAUACUGGCGAUCUUGUGCAACCUAGGGGCGAGCGGAACAGAUGGUGGAGCGGUGAAAUGCGUUGAUAUUAUGGGGAACACCAAAAGCGAAGGCAGCAGACUGGAGCACUCCUGACACUGAAACAUGAAAGCGUGGGUCGCGAAUGGG